GGUAAAUCUCGUGCCAGCCACCGCGGUCAUACGAUUAACCCAAGUUAAUAGGCAUACGGCGUAAAGUGUGUUAAAGCACUAUACUAAAUAAAGUUAAAUUCCAAUUAAGCUGUAAAAAGCCAUAAUUGUAACAAAAAUAUAUAACGAAAGUAACUUUACAACCGCUGAAACACGAUAGCUAGGACCCAAACUGGGAUUAGAUACCCCACUAUGCCUAGCCUUAAACACAAAUAGUUAUGCAAACAAAACUAUUCGCCAGAGUACUACCGGCAAUAGCUUAAAACUCAAAGGACUUGGCGGUGCUUUAUACCCUUCUAGAGGAGCCUGUUCUAUAAUCGAUAAACCCCGAUAAACCUCACCAUUCCUUGCUAAUACAGUCUAUAUACCGCCAUCUUCAGCGAACCCUAAAAAGGUACAAAAGUAAGCACAAUCAUAAUACAUAAAGACGUUAGGUCAAGGUGUAACCUAUGGAACGGAAAGAAAUGGGCUACAUUUUCUAAUCUAAGAAAAUCCAACACGAAAGUUAUUAUGAAACUAAUAACCAAAGGAGGAUUUAGCAGUAAACUAAGAAUAGAGUGCUUAGUUGAACUAGGCCAUGAAGCACGCACACACCGCCCGUCACCCUCCUCAAGUAGGCACAGUACACUCAAAUUUAUUUGCACGUAUUAAUCAUAUGAGAGGAGACAAGUCGUAACAAGGUAAGCAUACUGGA
rnacentral:rRNA from 1 species